CGAUCGACUUCUUUCAUUGCAAAGGGAGGGAAAAAGCUUUGCAUCGUGGACGGAAGUGGAACACCAGCACGUAAGCAAACAACACUCAACUGGGUGGACAAGCGUAUUCCACUGUGGAGAGCAGCCCAACAAUUAUUUGUAGUAGCGGAUGGCCUAUCUGCUGAUGCUGAUUUUCAACAACAUCCCUAACCUCUCUCUACCCACUGGAUGACUCCUCCUCCCCCAGCUGUGAUAACCAGCAGUGUCUCCAGACGGUGCCAAAUGUCUCUUUUUAGGCAAAGUCACUAUUAAUUAAGAACCACUAAUCUAAAAGAUUUUGCUUCUGUAUCUCAUGUACAAAUAAAAUUAUAGUCCUAGAGAUCACAAUCUGGGUGUGUGUGUGUGUGUGUGUGUGUGUGUGUGUGUGUGUGUGUUUCCUGUGCCAUGGGUCCCCAAGAUCACACUCAGGUUGAAUGAUUCACUAUGAGGAUUCACAGAACUCAGGAUAUUGGCAUAUUCACAGCUAUGAUUUAUUGCAGUGAAAGGAUACAAAGCAAAAUCAACAAAGAGAAAAGGCACAUCAAAGUUCAGAGGAAACCAGGUGCAAGCUUCCAAGACCUCUUUCCCUUUGGAGUCACAGAGAUGCAGUUAAUUCUUCCAGCAGUGGGUUGUGAGAAUAUGUGUGGAGUUCUGUCCAUCAAAGGAGCUCAUUAGGCACUUAAUAUUCACUGCCCAGCAUGUAUGAAAACUCCAGACUCUCGGAAGGGAAGCAGUUGUUUAGCCAAAACCACAUUGUUUGUACAAAUAAUUCAUGUACAGUACGCCACGCUUAUUAGUUAAUAAUGAUGGGGAUUUUCAAGAAACCCAAGUUCCUAAGUGCUAGCCAGGGUUCAACCUUGUAAGCAGGUCUUCCUAAGGGUAAUGGUCCCAGCCUGCUAUGCUAACUCUAUCUGCACACUUCCCUACACAAAGUUUUGUGAAAUGCCAACUACAUUUUAGGCACCCAAAGAUUUACAGAACGAGUGAGUUAACCAAGUAAUCAAUCUAUCUUGUUUUCCAUAAGAAUCCAUUAAACUUCUUUAUUUAGACUUUUGUUCCUAGGGAUUCUUAGCUACAUAGAGGGAAAUAUUCCUAGCAAUGAAAUAUAAUCACAAAUUAUAGAAUUAAAUAGAAGAUUUUAGUUAAUUAUGCCACCCUUGACACUCAUUUCUAGAAAAUCUCCAAACAAUUCAAUAUGUCACAGAGGACUCCAUUUUUGGGGAAAAGAACAUGGGGCAUGGUAAUGUUCUGGUCAUUAAAUUCCCAGACACAACCACCAAGAGAAUGAGCAGUGUAAAUCUAGACUACAUGAACAACCCUUUUCUUCCAAGAAGUCUAUGCCAUUUUGGAAGAUAAAAUCACUCAACGGUAAAUUUUGUUUAAUAGUUGACUUAUCUACUGUCCUCCAGUCCAGACAAAGGGCUCGUAAUUAAUAGGAUGGCUAGCAAAAAUUAGCUUCAUCUAAUUUUUCAAACAAGAGAAUGAGCCCCUCUUCUUAUGCUAAUGAAACCAUAUGGCCCUCUUUAUAACACCUGUCCUCAGGGGCAGGUUGGGUUUUACUUUUGCAGCACUCUUGGCCACCCACCCUCCCCCACCCCGCGUGCAGUCUUUAUGAAGGGCAAGACUGUCACUGCUCUUGUCUCUCACCUUGCUCUCCCCAGAAUCCUGCUUAGUCUGCGCCAAACUUAUUUAUUUUAAUAAAGCUUUAGGGGAUCACGGUCAAGAGUCCAUAUACCCCCAGGGUAUUUUAGUUUAAAGGCAAACAUGAUUUUCAAAAAGUGUAUUAAAGACAAAUCAGCAGGCCUUUCAGGAUUUGUUUCCUUGAUUCUAAGGUGUGCUAAGAAUGGUUCCAGAUGGACGCUGACACCAUUCGUGGCAUUCGUGACAGCGCUUGGGAAGGUCCUUUGGUUGCCAAAACACUGUAGUAGACGCCUCUGACAUAAAUAGGCGCAAGCGUCUUCCAUGGCGUGCCCUAACAAAUAGUAUCUUCUGUGUUUGCAUGUUUUGAGAACAGGAUUGGAAAACAUUCAUUAGACGAAGCACUUUGCUCUUAAACGUUGUCCUCAUGCCUUUGAAUGCACAUAUUUCUGGUUAGACAGAGAGGGUGCAUUGGGUGCAGGCCCCUGGCCAUGAGUUUGUUUGUGGAUUAUUCCUCCUCCCUCUCUCCCUCCAUGCUGUGCUGUUUGUGUUUCUUCCUGAAGAACUGUACCUUAAGGGAACUAUUCUGUACCCAUUCUUUUCCAAAAGGUGAAAAGGGCUCAGCCAAUGCUGAUGUCUGGAAGGGGACCUUGACUGAGAUCACAGAGUUAACAUCCUCCUAACAGUGGUCCAGGAAGCACGGUCCAGCUGGACGAGCCAGUGUGAACAACCUUCUAAUUCCAGGCAGAACUUACUCGCCAUAUGCAAAGGUAACUACUCAAAUAACUUUUUGCUUGAGACAUUUACGUUAAAUGUAGUAUUUUUGUAACAAUAGACAUGCAUGGUUAAUGAUGAUAAUUUUUAGAAACUGUUACUUUCAGAACUAAGAACAAAUACAUGAUCAGAUCGUUGCUUUUAAACACACUGAUUCCUGGAUCCUAAAUGAUGAUAAAAGUUCACCCUAAGGAACAUAUUAGCAAAACUCUAUUCCUUGCCCUGAUUACAGGAAGAUAAUUUAUUUUUGAAAUAUUUUACUACUGGGGCGCCUGGGUGGCUCAGUCGGUUCAGCAUUC